AUUAAACGCUGGCGGCAUGCCUUACACAUGCAAGUCGAACGGCAGCACGGGAGCAAUCCUGGUGGCGAGUGGCGAACGGGUGAGUAAUAUAUCGGAACGUGCCCAGUAGUGGGGGAUAACUGCUCGAAAGAGCAGCUAAUACCGCAUACGACCUGAGGGUGAAAGGGGGGGAUCGCAAGACCUCUCGCUAUUGGAGCGGCCGAUAUCAGAUGAGGUAGUUGGUGGGGUAAAGGCCUACCAAGGCAACGAUCUGUAGUUGGUCUGAGAGGACGACCAGGCAUACUGGGAGUGAGACGCGGCACGGACUCCUACGGGAGGCAGCAGUGGGGAAUGUUGGACAGUGGGCGCAAGCCUGAUCCAGCAAUGCCGCGUGCAGGAAGAAGGCCUUCGGGUUGUAAACUGCUUUUGUCAGGGAAGAAAUCCUCUAGGUUAAUACCCUUGGGGGGAUGACGGUACCUGAAGAAUAAGCACCGGCUAACUACGUGCCAGCCGCCGCAGUAAAAC
rnacentral:rRNA from 1 species